CCUACGGGAGGCUGCAGUGGGGAAUAUUGGACAAUGGGCGAAAGCCUGAUCCAGCCAUGCCGCGUGUGUGAAGAAGGCCUUCGGGUUGUAAAGCACUUUCAGUGGGGAAGAAAGCCUUGGGGCUAAUACCCUCGAGGAAGGACAUCACCCACAGAAGAAGCACCGGCUAACUCCGUGCCAGCAGCCGCGGUAAUACGGAGGGUGCGAGCGUUAAUCGGAAUUACUGGGCGUAAAGCGCGCGUAGGCGGUCUGAUAAGCCGGUUGUGAAAGCCCCGGGCUCAACCUGGGAACGGCAUCCGGAACUGUCAGGCUAGAGGGCAGGAGAGGAAGGUAGAAUUCCCGGUGUAGCGGUGAAAUGCGUAGAGAUCGGGAGGAAUACCAGUGGCGAAGGCGGCCUUCUGGACUGACACUGACGCUGAGGUGCGAAAGCGUGGGUAGCAAACAGGAUUAGUACCCGGGUAGUC
rnacentral:rRNA from 1 species